AUAGUUGGUAAUUGUUUCAUCACAGAAAGAAUUAUGAAGUGUUCGCUGCUUUUGCUUUGUUUGAUGUGGAGUGCUGUUUAUUGCAAUGGAAGAAAGGCACCGGCUCACACACGCAACUUACCGAAAAUGCAGACGUCAGCUCAUCAGAUUACUGGCGUUUCUGCUCAGUUGUACAAUCAAGCAAUGAAAGAACGUAAAGAUUUAUUGUUCGAUGUUCUGGAAAGCAAUCGCUUGGAUUGAUGUAUUGUUUGCCCAACAAUGAAUUUCGAAAACAAAAUAAAAGAAAUAGACGAAUUACA